rnacentral:rRNA from 1 species
AUUGAACGCUGGCGGCAGGCCUGACACAUGCAAGUCGAACGGUAGCACAGGGGAGCUUGCUCCUCGGGUGACGAGUGGCGGACGGGUGAGUAAUGUCUGGGGAUCUGCCCGAUGGAGGGGGAUAACUACUGGAAACGGUAGCUAAUACCGCAUGACGUCUUCGGACCAAAGUGGGGGACCUUCGGGCCUCACGCCAUCAGAUGUGCCCAGAUGGGAUUAGCUAGUAGGUGGGGUAAUGGCUCACCUAGGCGACGAUCUCUAGCUGGUCUGAGAGGAUGACCAGCCACACUGGAACUGAGACACGGUCCAGACUCCUACGGGAGGCAGCAGUGGGGAAUAUUGCACAAUGGGCGCAAGCCUGAUGCAGCCAUGCCGCGUGUAUGAAGAAGGCCUUCGGGUUGUAAAGUACUUUCAGCGAGGAGGAAGGCAUUAAGGUUAAUAACCUUGGUGAUUGACGUUACUCGCAGAAGAAGCACCGGCUAACUCCGUGCCAGCCGCCGCCGUAAAAC